rnacentral:rRNA from 1 species
UACGGAGGGGGCUAGCGUUGUUCGGAAUUACUGGGCGUAAAGCGCACGUAGGCGGCUUUGCAAGUUAGAGGUGAAAGCCCGGGGCUCAACUCCGGAAUUGCCUUUAAAACUGCAUCGCUAGAAUUGUGGAGAGGUAAGUGGAAUUCCGAGUGUAGAGGUGAAAUUCGUAGAUAUUCGCAAGAACACCAGUGGCGAAGGCGGCUCACUGGCCCGGUACUGACGCUGAGGUGCGAAAGCGUGGGGAGCAAACAGGG